GAAAUGCGAUAAGCAAUGCGAAUUGCAGAAUUCAGUGAAUCAUCAGAUCUUUGAACGCAGCUUGCGCCCUCGGGAAAACUGGGGGUAUGCCUGUUUCAGUGUCUUAAAUGAACCUCACUACCACAUCUUUCGGGGUGUGCAGUCAGUGGAAACUGAGCGUCAGACUCUUUCAGUGGAGUUUGUCACUUCAAGUACAUGGCCUGGGGUCACACUAAAAUCCCACUACGCAGUGUAGUAGUCACACUUCGUGUGAAUCUCACUGCGACGGGAUUGUGACCGUCUGCUUUAGGCUCAUAGGAACAUUUAAACAUCUCAACUGAGACCUGAAAUCAGGCAAGAUUACCCGCUGGAUUUAA
rnacentral:misc_RNA from 1 species